GGGAGUAACUAUUGGAAACGAUAGCUAAUACCGCAUAAAAGACGAUAUCGCAUGAUAUUGACUUGAAAGGUGCAAUUGCAUCACUAAGAGAUGGACCUGCGUUGUAUUAGCUAGUUGGUGAGGUAACGGCUCACCAAGGCGACGAUACAUAGCCGACCUGAGAGGGUGAUCGGCCACACUGGGACUGAGACACGGCCCAG
rnacentral:rRNA from 1 species